rnacentral:rRNA from 1 species
AGUGAACGCUGGCGGUAGGCCUAACACAUGCAAGUCGAACGGCAGCACAGUAAGAGCUUGCUCUUACGGGUGGCGAGUGGCGGACGGGUGAGGAAUACAUCGGAAUCUACUUUUUCGUGGGGGAUAACGUAGGGAAACUUACGCUAAUACCGCAUACGACCUACGGGUGAAAGCAGGGGAUCUUCGGACCUUGCGCGAUUGAAUGAGCCGAUGUCGGAUUAGCUAGUUGGCGGGGUAAAGGCCCACCAAGGCGACGAUCCGUAGCUGGUCUGAGAGGAUGAUCAGACACACUGGAACUGAGACACGCUCCAGACUCCUACGGGAGGAAGCAGUGGGGAAUAUUGGACAAUGGGCGCAAGCCUGAUCCAGCCAUACCGCGUGGGUGAAGAAGGCCUUCGGGUUGUAAGGCCCUUUUGUUGGGAAAGAAAAGCAGCAGGUUAAUACCCCGCUGUUCUGACGGUACCCAAAGAAUAAGCACCGGCUAACUUCGUG